UACAGAGGCCCCCAAGCGUUAUCCGGAAUUAUUGGGCGUAAAGCGCGUGUAGGCGGUCUUUUAAGUCUGAUGUGAAAGCCCCGGGCUCAACCUGGGAAGUGCAUUGGAAACUGGGAGACUUGAGUACGGGAGAGGGUAGUGGAAUUCCUAGUGUAGGAGUGAAAUCCGUAGAUAUUAGGAGGAACACCGGUGGCGAAGGCGGCUACCUGGACCGAUACUGACGCUGAGACGCGAAAGCGUGGGGAGCAAACAGGAUUAGAAACCCUUGUAGU
rnacentral:rRNA from 1 species